rnacentral:rRNA from 1 species
UGGGGAAUAUUGCACAAUGGGCGCAAGCCUGAUGCAGCCAUGCCGCGUGUAUGAAGAAGGCCUUCGGGUUGUAAAGUACUUUCAGCGGGGAGGAAGGGAGUAAAGUUAAUACCUUUGCUCAUUGACGUUACCCGCAGAAGAAGCACCGGCUAACUCCGUGCCAGCAGCCGCGGUAAUACGGAGGGUGCAAGCGUUAAUCGGAAUUACUGGGCGUAAAGCGCACGCAGGCGGUUUGUUAAGUCAGAUGUGAAAUCCCCGGGCUCAACCUGGGAACUGCAUCUGAUACUGGCACGCUUGAGUUGCGUAGAGGGGGGUGGAAUUCCAUGUGUAGCGGUGAAAUGCGUAGAGAUCUGGAGGAAUACCGGUGGCGAAGGCGGCCCCCUGGACGAAGACUGACGCUCAGGUGCGAAAGCGUGGGGAGCAAACAGG